rnacentral:tRNA from 1 species
CGGGGUGUGGCGCAGCUGGCUAGCGCGCUUGCUUUGGGAGCAAGAGGUCGUCGGUUCGAAUCCGUCCACCCCGACCA